rnacentral:rRNA from 1 species
GGACGACGUCAAGUCAUCAUGGCCCUUACGAGUAGGGCUACACACGUGCUACAAUGGGAGAUACAGACGGACGCUAAGCCGCGAGGUGGUGCUAAUCCUAAAAAGUCUUUCGUAGUCCGGAUUGGAGUCUGCAACUCGACUCCAUGAAGUCGGAAUCGCUAGUAAUCGCGGAUCAGCAUGCCGCGGUGAAUACGUUCUCGGGUCUUGUACACACCGCCCGUCACACCAUGGAAGUGGAUUGCACCAGAAGUAGAUAGUCUAACCUUAGGGAGGGCGUUUACCACGGUGUGCUUCAUGACUGGGGUGAAGUCGUAACAAGGUAGCCGUAGGGGAACCUGUGGCUGGAUCACCUCCUUAA